rnacentral:lncRNA from 1 species
CGCAAGGGCGCAGCCAAUAGGAUUGUAGCCUGCAGGUGCGGCCAAGCACAGAACGGAGGGGGUGGGGGCGCUGCAACCACGGAGAGCUACCGCCUGGCAGGACUUGGGGCAAAGGUACGCGAGCGCUGUGAGUUCGUCGGCUGAGACACGACACCCACAGAAGAGUCGGCCCAUCCACGGAGCGCCCCAAGCACACGUCCUAAGUGAUUCGUACGGGUCACAAGACUCAAAAGAUUCCCGCAGGAUUCACAAUGCACGAAACACGUCUGGCUCUUGCUGCGAACAGACCGGAUACAGAACGCAGUGGGUGAGAGGAGAUGACAAUGACUGCAGCCCAAGUGCCCAGACCCAAAUUCCAGAAGCAGAUCCUUGAAACAGCCUGCACUCCCCUUGGAGAGACCGGAGUGGAUAUAAAGCUUCAUGGGUGAAGGAAAUUUUCAAAGGCUUCCAACUGGAAGACCUCAGCAGACGACGAUAGACACUCCAAACCUCUUACCACUCAUCAUGGAUUAGAAAUUUCUAACAAAUUUUUAGCUGCUGAGGAUCAAAGUCAAGACCUUGCACAUGGCAGGCAACCACUUUGCCACUGAGCUAAUCCUCAAAUCAGGCAGCUUAUCUUAAAAUUUAAAGUAUUUUUUGAAUGGCACUAAUUAGGAGUACAUAACAAGAAGACAGGCA